GCAGCUGUGGGCAAAAGCACAACAGACACUUCUAUAAAUGACCUCAACGCUGAAUGCUCUUGGUAACGUUAUUCGUUUGAGUGUCGCUCCUCUUUUUAAAGAGGUUGAUGCUGUCUUCAAUGACACACAAUCAUAACCUGACGCCUGGCUUGCUACU